AUAGGCCAUUGGUGUUUUAUGACUAUAUGUUUGUUUCUUUGUAUGUUCAGAAGAAAAUGCAUAAAUGCUCAGUUACCAACAAGUUGUAAAUAAAUAAUAAUUGAAUAAUAUUUUGAAACUUACUUUUUACACUACAAGAAACAAAAAUGGUACCAUUUGACAGUAGAAAUGUCUGAAGUGAUUUAAUCUUAAAUGUGUAUUUGUUACAGAUAUUACGUAGCCGAAGGUGUUUAUUCACAGGACACAUGGAAACAAGUGAUGGGAGAGCAGGGUAAACAACUGGUACAUCAGACAAGUGGUGAACAAAGAUGAUCUGAACAUGUAUAUUCCAAGGUUGUUAGAGGCUCUUCUCAUCUGUUUUAGUGAUGACAGCUGGACAGUUAGAGAUGGUUAUCUAUACCAGCAUUGUAUCCACUGUUUUUCAACAAUCAACAAGAUAAUAAACCAUCAGUGCGGGGGCGGCCCUUGCUCUCCCCAGAGCAUAAGAUCCAAUAAACAUGCCAGUAUCUGAGCUAAAGAAGUUUGCUGAGGAGGUGUUUUAUCCUGAGCCCCAUGAGGAGUUUCUAGUGCCUUAGAUGAAUUCUGGGAACAAAGAUGAUAUGGCGAGCCAUUAACCGAUCUCUACCCUUCAGAAGCUUUUUAUACACAUGAAGAAAUUGACUAAAAUUUGAUAAGUAACAGUAGACGUGUGUUCAAGAAACUAUUAUUUGACUUACCUGGAAUAUUAUUAGAAACAUUUAUAAAGAGGAAGAAUAUUAUUCUCCAGUUGCUUGGGCACAAACCAAAAUGAAAAACUAACAAAUUUUACAAAGGUGCUUCCCCUCCGACUACUAUAGAUGUGCUAAAACUCGUGGUUCAGGAAGCAGUUAUUGACAUAUUAGGUUUAAAUGGGGCCAAAAAAUCAUUGGAAAAAACUAAAUGAGGUAUUCGUGAAAGAAGGAUUUUGUUGACACAAUUUUGGUGCAAAAAUUGCGCGAAGAAGAGCCUGAGUGGGUUAAUUAUGAUGACGAUGAAUUGGCAGUGAAAAUGCAACUAACUGAAAAAAAUAUUUAAUGAUUUAUUGACAGAUACUGUUCAGACAAUGAACAAAAUCUUUCGCAAGAAGCAAAGUUUGCAGCAUCAGACAUAGUCAGCUAUUUGAUCAGGAUUAUGUUAAAGCUUUUGUGAUCUUAUUUCAUGCAGAUGCUUUUUCUGAUCUGAGUGAUGCAGAUGCUUAUUCAUCUGCAGUUACAGCUAAAUGAGUGAUCUGAGUAUAUAAGAGCUUGCACAUGAAUUUUAUAUUCUGGGGUUUGAAUUGAGGACAGUGAAUCAUGAAGUCGAGCUAAAAUGGCAUUAUGGUCUAGAGAAU